GCCACCGUAGCUCAGUGGUAGAGCAGCUGUUUCGUAAACAGCAGGUCCUCGGUUCAAUCCCGAGCGGUGGCUCCA
rnacentral:tRNA from 1 species